rnacentral:rRNA from 1 species
GCGCACGGGUGCGUAACGCGUGGGAAUCUGCCCUUGGGUUCGGAAUAACAGUUAGAAAUGACUGCUAAUACCGGAUGAUGUCGCAAGACCAAAGAUUUAUCGCCCAGGGAUGAGCCCGCGUAGGAUUAGGUAGUUGGUGGGGUAAAGGCUCACCAAGCCGACGAUCCUUAGCUGGUCUGAGAGGAUGAUCAGCCACACUGGGACUGAGACACGGCCCAGACUCCUACGGGAGGCAGCAGUGGGGAAUAUUGGACAAUGGGGGAAACCCUGAUCCAGCAAUGCCGCGUGAGUGAUGAAGGCCUUAGGGUUGUAAAGCUCUUUUACCAGGGAUGAUAAUGACAGUACCUGGAGAAUAAGCUCCGGCUAACUCCGUGCCAGCAGCCGCGGUAAUACGGAGGGAGCUAGCGUUGUUCGGAAUUACUGGGCGUAAAGCGCACGUAGGCGGUUACUCAAGUCAGAGGUGAAAGCCCGGGGCUCAACCCCGGAACUGCCUUUGAAACUAGGCAACUAGAAUUCUGGAGAGGUCAGUGGAAUUCCGAGUGUAGAGGUGAAAUUCGUAGAUAUUCGGAAGAACACCAGUGGCGAAGGCGACUGACUGGACAGAUAUUGACGCUGAGGUGCGAAAGC